AUGCCCACCAGGGUCAGGCCUCCCUAUGCUACUCAGGCCCCAGGGCCCAGCCCUGCUCCCCUCCUCACCCUCCAGGGUCAGGCCCCACUCCCCUCAGGCAUGGCUAUCACUGCCCUCCAGGGCAUGGGCCCCACUCCCCUCCUUGCCUUCCAGGGCCUGUGUCCCAUUCCCUCCUCAACCUCCAGGGCAUGGCACUGCUCAUCUCCAUGCACUCCAGGGCCUGGGCCUCAUUCCUUCUGCACGCUCCAGGUCCUGGCCCCACUUCCCUCCUUGCACUGCAUGGCCCUGCCCAGAUCCCCUUGCCACCAACCAGGGCCGGUCCCGCUCCCCUACUCGCACUCCAAGGCCUGGCACUGCUCACAUCCAUGCCCUCCAUGGCCUGGGCCCCAACCCCCUCACUUCCUUCCAGGGCCUGGCCCUGUUCCCCUGGACACCCUCCAGGGACUGACCCUGCUGCCCUCCUCGUUCCAGCGCCCGGGCCUGCUCACACCCAUGCCCUUCAUGGCCUGGGCCCUGUUCCUUCCUAGCUCUCCAAAGCCUGGGCCCAGUUCCCUCCUCACCCUCCUGGAACAGACCCUGCUCCCCUCCUCACCUCCAGGCCUAGGCCCUGCUGCCCUCCUCACCUCCAGGGCCAGUCCCUUCUCUCCUCAGCCAUCACUGCCCUCCAGGGCAUGGGCCCCACUCCCCUCCUCACCUCCAGGGGCAGGCCUGCUCCUCUUGCCAACCUCCAGGGCAGGACCCUACACCACCCCCGCCUCUCUCCUGUGCAGGACGCCACUCCUCUCCUUUCCCCGGAGGGCUGGGCACUGCUCCCCUCCUCGCCCUCUAGAGCCUGAACCCUGCUACCCUCCUUGCUUUCCAGGGAAGGGCCUUGCUCCCCUCCUAGCCCUCCAGUGCUGGGCCCUGCUUCCUUCCACACCUUCAGGGCCUGGGCCCCACUCCCCUUACUGCCCAGCAGGGCCUGACCCCGCUCCCCUCCUUGACCCCCAAGGCCUGGCCAUGCUCACCUACAUACCCUCCAUGGACUGGGCCCCGAUCCCCUCACUGCCCACCAGGGCCUGA
rnacentral:lncRNA from 1 species